UCCCUGAUGGCCCAGUGGUUAGGGUGCUGGGCUUCCACUGCAGGAGACAUGGGUUCGAUCCCUAGUCAGGGAG
rnacentral:tRNA from 1 species